rnacentral:snRNA from 1 species
CUGCUCCCUUUGGCAGCACAUAUGUUAAAUUUGAAUUAUAUAGAGAUUAGCAUGACCUCUUAGAAGGAUGACUUGAAAAUUCAUGAAGCAUUCCAUAUUUUU